rnacentral:lncRNA from 1 species
CGGGCGCUGUGGGAGUGGAGAAGCUGCAAGUGCUGAGGCGCGGUGGAGGAAAGCAUGGGAGCCAAGAGUAUGAGGAGCUGGUGUCUGUGUCAGAUUUGUAGCUGCGGCUUUCUGUCCUCCCAGCCAGACCAUAUUCCCAUUCCCGUCCAGGCAGCAGUUCUUUGGGAUCCGCCUGACUGAAAAGUCAACCAGGACUGACAAGGGAGCCACUGCCUCUGCCAUAAUCAGAAAAUUGCAACAGAGCUGUAGACUCCAGAAUCACUCGUCUCUUCCAAGGUCAAGAAGCUGCCAAGUUAGGAAACCAGCUUGCAAAUCAAGAUGCCGCCUAACAACUUCUAGCUCCAAUCUCUUGUUGCCUCUAUUAUGUUCCAUGCAAGCAAAAUAAAUGUUGUGCCUUGACUCUC